rnacentral:lncRNA from 1 species
AUCUCGGAUCAGCUGGUAUCUAGCAUCAAGCCCUAAUUGGGGCAUGCCUCUCUUUUACUUUUGCUUAAUUUAUCAGUAAUAUGAAAUCUCGACCAUCAUCUUGCAUCCGAUCCCUAGUCGGCGAAUAUGUAAUACCAACUCUUGGUCGGUCAAUAUCUUUGAUCGAUCCCUCAUCGAGCGACUCUCAUCACCAAUCUUUGAUCGUCCAUAAUUUAGUGUGGACUCCUAGUUGGCCAACAUAUAGUUCCUACUCAUCAUUGGCCAAUACCAAAUCCUAAUCAGCCUGAACCUACCAAAUCAAAAUUCAAAAAGCUGGUGCCAAUCAGAUAACAACUAUCAGGGAGUAG